CAAAUACUCCCUCCGUCCCAAAAUAAGUGGCUCACAAUUGACUCAACUUUAUACUAAAGCUAGUGCAAAUUUGAGUCACUUAUUUUGGGACGGAGGGAGUAUAAU
rnacentral:pre_miRNA from 1 species